rnacentral:lncRNA from 1 species
GUCUCAUUAAGUUGCUUAAGCUGGCUUUGAACUUGUGAUCCUCCUAACCUCUGCCUUCCAAGUUGCUGGGAUUACAAGCCUGUGACACUGCCUAGCAAAAAGUUGGAUGUUUUUAUUUCUUUAUAACUUUAUUUGGUACCAAUGAGCUACAUCUCCAGCCCUUCUUUUUACUUUGAGACAGUAUGACAAGUUGCCAAAGCUGGCCUUGAAUUUGCAACCUCCUGUUUCAGUCUCUUAAAUAGCUGGGAUUACAGGCAUGUGCCACCAUGAAUAAGCUUAGUAUUUAUAUUCAUCCUAAAAAGACAAGAACUUGCUUCCUCCAUCUCUUCUACUUCAUGUUGACAGUUUGAAUUCAUUAAUUUUGGUUUACUGUAGAUGUAUUUCCUUCCCCCUCUUCCCCCCACCCCCAUAUACAAUUACCAAGAUAUUUGACUACUAAAUUAUCCCCCUAGCUUUCCUAAUAUCUCUGGACUUGUUUUCUUCUUGAAUACUUUUCCCCCAAAUUUUAACAUGUACUUUUGAGUGGUAAAUAUUAAUGCUUUUAUUAAACCCUCACAUUUUAAAGACAAAUUGCUAAAAAAUUUCAAGUCCAGUACUUUAAAAAUAUUACACUCUGCUCCUACUGCUCAGGACUCAGAAGACUCAGGUCAAUCUGAUUCCUUUCUUUAUACAUUUACUCUACAUAAAAGCUUUAAGAUUUUUCUCAUUAUCUUUGAUACUCUUACAUUUCAGUAUAUGUCUAUAUGUGGAUAUUUUCUCUUUUCACUCUGGCCCUUUCUAUCUCUAUUUAAACUUUUUCUAAGUCUCCUUUAUUUCCUGAAUGUUGGCACAUCCGUCUUCCAUGUCACUUAAAUCAUUUUCACAUUUCCAAGUUACCUUUUUUAAAAAAACAAAACCAAAACAAAACUUCCUUCUGGGAGUUUUCUAGAUUGAUUUUUCAACUCAACUUAUUCUUCAGUUGUAUCUAUUUUUAUUCCAUUCAAUUUUUUCUUCAUUUUAUAAAGAGAAACCAGAGUAUGUGGGGUUGUUUUUCACUACGGGAGAAUGAACUGAGGAAAGUCUGAGCUAUAUUCUCAACCCUUUUAAUUUUUUUUAAAUUUGUUCUUGUAUUAGGGAUUCAAUCAGAGGCUCUCUACCUCAACUUUUAUUUCCAGGAUCCUUCACUCAAUAAGUUGCUGAUGCUGCCCUCAAAUUUGCAAUGUUCCUGCCAUCGUCUCCAGAGUAGCAAGACACACACCUCACAGUGUUUUUUUGUUGUUGUUGUUGUUUUUGUACCAGGGAUUGAACCCAGUGGUGCUUACCACUGAGUUGCAUCCCCAGCCCUUUUUUUAUAUUUUGAGACAGGAUCUCGCUGAAUUGCUUAGGGUCUCAAUCAGUUGCUGAGAACUUGAGAUCCUCAUGCCUCAGUCUCUC